AUUGAACGCUGGCGGCAGGCUUAACACAUGCAAGUCGAGCGAGCGGCGGACGGGUGAGUAAUGUGUGGGAAACUGCCUGAUGGCGGGGGGUAACAACUGGAAAAGGUAGCUAAUACCGCAUACCAUCAGAUGUGCCCAGAUGGGAUUAGCUAGUAGGUGGGGUAACGGCUCACCUAGGCGACGAUCCCUAGCUGGUCUGAGAGGAUGACCAGCAACACUGGAACUGGGACACGGUCCAGACUCCUACGGGAGGCAGCAGUGGGGAAUAUUGCACAAUGGGCGCAAGCCUGAUGCAGCCAGGCCGCGUGUGUGAAGAAGGCCUUCGGGUUGUAAAGUACUUUCAGCGGGGAGGCGUUACCCGCAGAAGAAGCACCGGCUAACUCCGUGCCAGCAGCCGCGGUAAUAC
rnacentral:rRNA from 1 species